AAUGGGAUAGUUGGGUCACAUGGUGGUUCUAUUCUUCAUCUUUCGAGGAAUCUCCAUACUGCUUUCCAAAGUAGUCAUACUAAUUUACAGCCCCACCAACAAU
rnacentral:pre_miRNA from 1 species